GCCUCCAGCUGCUAUGCCGCCAUCAGCUCAACCACCUGCACCUGCUAUCCAACCACCUGCACAUACCACGUCCGACCCUGCUUCACCUCAGCCAGUUUUCUGCACCUGUUUCACAGGUAGCCAAAAGAUCAGUUACACUGUAACUUGGACACCUGGUCAAACAUGGAUGCAUUGAAACUGGUAUUCAUUCAGCUUUUACCACUAACUGCAUACUCACAAGAUUUGGGAGGAGAGACUGUGGUGAAAACAAUUGGGAAACAACCAGAUGUCACUCAAAUAUGCACCAAUGAAACACAGAACAUCAUCACGCUGAUAGUUUGUAAGAUCAGAACUCAGAGAAGUGGAGGAGAAAAUUGUAUUCUGCUCUAUGAAUAUGCACGAGGCUUUGAACAGAAAUGUGACUCCAGGUUUACGCUGAUGAAAGAAAAUCAGACUGUGUUUCUCCACCUGAUCAAUUUAACAUCAGAGGACAGUGGGAGCUACACCUGUCAGUGUUCAGCUCCUGAAAGAACAAAUAUUCUCCAUCUUAAUGUCACUGUGGACGG